CUCUAUUUACCUCACGCAUAACCCAAAGUCCAGAUCUUUCUUAUGAUUGACCUGCUAUUCUUUGGACUACUGGAUUAGCAUCUGCCGCUGAAGCACAGAUCUUACGUUGGAAGGUUUAGGUACAAUCUGGCAAAACAACUAUAUUUUAGUUUCGGGCGUAUACCUGCUCUCUCUUUAGAGUGCAAAUCCUUUCUUCUUCAUCAAGGGCUGGCUUCGCUCGGGCUAUCGCCUCCGUGCUAUUGGGGCGAGAGAAAUGCCGGCAGUGAAUCAUUGGAGGGACAUCUUAAGAGGUUACCACUUGGAUAACAAUGCCCCGCCACCUUGGUUGCAACAGAAGCGGAAAAAUAAUCCAAAUGAUGUUGCUGCAAGUUCCUCUUCCAAUCCCCGGCCACUUAUAAGCGUGACAGUAUCAGGC